rnacentral:tRNA from 1 species
GUCCGGUUGGCUCAAUGGCAGAGCAUUGUCUCGAACAGAAGGUUGAGGGUUCGAGUCCCCCACCGGCA